UGGGGAAUUUUGCGCAAUGGGGGAAACCCUGACGCAGCAACGCCGCGUGGGUGAUGAAGGUCUUCGGAUCGUAAAACCCUGUCGUCGGGGACGAAGGUUGCGGAUUGAAUAGGUUCGUAACUUGACGGUACCCGGAGAGGAAGCCCCGGCUAACUCUGUGCCAGCAGCCGCGGUAAUACAGAGGGGGCAAGCGUUAUUCGGAAUUAUUGGGCGUAAAGGGUGCGCAGGCGGUGAUUUAAGUGAGAUGUGCAAUCCCCGGGCUUAACCUGGGAACUGCAUCUCAGACUGGAUCGCUAGAGUACUGGAGAGGGUGGUAGAAUUCCACGUGUAGCGGUGAAAUGCGUAGAGAUGUGGAGGAAUACCAGUGGCGAAGGCGGCCACCUGGACAGUAACUGACGCUGAGGCACGAAAGCAUGGGUAGCAAACAGG
rnacentral:rRNA from 1 species